CCGCAGCUGGCGGGCGCCCGGCCGGUUGCCACGGCAACCCCUCUCCCAGGGCCCGGCCCCGCGCGGAGCUGCGGUAAACAGGACCUUCUGCCGGACUCGCCCCCUCGCCUCUCGGGGUGGGGGAGAGGUGGCUUAACCCUUCCUGGGAGGACGCCCGCCGCGCGCGGGCUCCAUUCCACCCAGGCCCGGGCGGAUUCGCGAGGUGCUUCCGGCCUGAGGCUUAGACCUGGACGUCCAAGCCUGGGGAACGGCGGCCGCGUGCCCGGCCCCGCUUACUCUAGGCAGUUAACACACUCUCGGCACCGGGCCGGGGCCGGGGGCACCUCGGGCAGUGAGUCAGGCACCACCCUUGCCCCAGGCAGCUUGCCGUCGGGCCGGGGUAAUGACAGUCAUGAGACCGGCGAUGCAGGUCCAGGAUCGUCUACCAGCACGCACAGGCAACAGAGCUGGCUUUAUCUCAGCCAUAAGCCAAGGGAGUAAUGCAUUCAAUGGGCCUGCGGCUCUGUCUCUUGCUCCGACACUGGAUGGAACAGACUCUCUCUUCCAGGCUCUGACUGCCUUCCAAUAAAAAUUAAAAUAAAGAAACCAGGCCGGACGCGGUGGCUUAUGGCUGUGAUCCCAGCACACUGGAAGGCCGAGGCGGGCGGAUCACCUGAGGUCAUGAGUUCGAGACCAGCCUGGCCAACGUGGUGAAACCCUGUCUCUACUAACAAUACAAAAAUUAGCCAGGCAUGGUGGCAGGUGCCUGUAAUCCCAGCUAGUCGGGAGGCUGAGGCAGGAGAAUCACUUGAACCUGGGAGGGCAGGCAGGUGGUGAUGAGACAGAAGAAAGAUCCUGCCAGCCAAGAGGCCAAGAAGGAAUGGAUCCCAGUGACCCAAGCAGGGGAGCCAGAUCUCAAGGGGAUGGUUUGAGUCAGGGAUGCCCCAAGGAACUGCACUGCCUGUUCCUUCCAGAGGGGGGAGCCACAGUGAGGACAUGGAUUGGUUCUUGAUCCAGAACUCUCCCUCCAGAGGAGCUGGCCCUGGGCAGAGCCGAUGCUCACAGGCUUCAUGGGGUAACAAAAAGAACAUGGGUUGAGCCAGACAGGUCUGGGUCUGUGGGACCUCAGAUAAAGCACAUAACCCGUUGGGGCUUGGUUUUCCCAUCCAUGAAAUGGCAGGAAUGAUGCUUCGUUGUUCAGAGUUGCAGGGCGGACCUAAUGCCAUGACUGGUCAAAGUGCCUGGGACAAAAAUGAUGCUCUGUCAACAUUUACAUCCAAAAGGAAUCUCAGUGGAAAUGAAAACAUUUGAGAGAGUGUCCGAAGGCUCUUUCUCAGGCUCUGUCCCCUGCCUUGAUGGGUGGGGCUAGCCUUGUCAUAUCCCUCGGUACUUCCCAUUUCCCGUGGUUUCUUCUUUUUUUCUUUUGAGACGGAGCCUUGCUCUUGUUGCCCAGGCUGGAGUGCAAUGAUGUGAUCUUGGCUCACUGCAUAGGUGCAUAGGUGAAAGGUAUACACAUGGGAGGCUGGGGCAGGAGGAUCACUUGAGCUUGGGAGUCCUGGGUUGUGGUGCACUUUGCCAAUCCAGUGUCUGCACUAAGUUCAGCAUCAAUAUGGUGACCUCCUGGGAGCAAGGGACCACCAGGUUGCCUAAAGAGGGGUUAAUCAGCCCAGGUCAGAAAUGGAACAGGUCAAAACUCCUGUGCUAAUCUGUAGUGGGAUCGUACCUGUGAAUAGCCACUGCACUCUAGCCUGGGCAACAUAGUCAGAAUCCAUCUGUAGGAAAAAAACUGGAAAUAAUUAGCCUGGGUUCAGUGGUUCAUGCUUGUAAUCUCAAUCUCAGCACUUUGGGAGACUGAGGCAGGUGAAUCACUUGAGCCCAGAAGUUCGAGACCAGCCUGGCAACAUGGUGAAACCCUGUCUCUACUGAAAAUACCAAAAAAUUAGCCAGGCGUGGUGGCGCACGCCUAUAAUCUCAGCUACUCAGGAGGCUGAGGCACGCGAAUCACUUGAACAUGGGAGGCAGAGGUUGCAGUGAGCAGAGAUUGUGCCACUGCACUCUGGCCUGUGUGACAGAGCAAGACCUUGUCUCAAAAAAAAAAAAAAUAAAAACCAUAAUCAUUAAAUUAUAUUUAAAAAGAAAAGAAAAAAGCUAUACACACAGUAGAUGAUUGAUGGACAAGAGGUUUAUUGAUUGAUUGAUCAUCUGGAGAGCUGGUGUGGGGAGAAGAAUCACAUGUCUGUGCUUAGACAAGUUUGGAUGAGGUAGAGCAAGGAAGGAACUUCUCUUAAGGGCAGGGAAAAGUCUACAGCCUCACCCUGACACAGCCUUGGCCAAGCCUCCCCUACAUCCCUCCCAUCCAUAGACCAAAGCCCUGCAGGCUCAGAGCCCACCGAGCCAUCUUAGAGAGGCUCUAAGUCAGGGCUUACAGAUGUCAGGGCUCCCCUUCUAGUCUCUUGCUGGCACCUGAUGCCUUUCCUCCACAGAAGGCCACCUCCCCCCUGCCUCUCUCAUUCCAUCUCUAACUCCAUCCUCAGCCCAUUCUCCCACCUAGACACAGCUGGGUGCCAGUUCCUUGCAGGCCCUCCUGGCUGCCUCUCUCUGAGGAAACAAAACCAAGCCAAGCAUCCCACCCAAACCUCAAAACCAGGCUUGGUUUGUUAUUGGUCCCAAUCAGAUGCAAUCCAGGAGGUGUGGGAUAGGAGUGGGAGGGGUAGAGGGGGAGCAGAGGCCACCCAGGAGUGUGCAGAGCCCAGACUGAAGCCCUAAGGCUCUUUCAUCCUCCCUGGCUGCGAAGGGCUGGUCUUUGGCAGAGAUGCCUCUGUGCCCUCUGUCUUCCGGGGACGCUCUCACACCUACCGCUUUGGCUGGGACUAUAAGAUGGGCAGCUGUUGAGGCCCACUAGGGGUGCUGUGGGGCAGAUGGUCUUUGUUUAUUACCAUGGAUGGCUGACCUUUGCUGGCUUACCACGGGGAAUCCGGGAGAAUCUCUGCAUUGGCAGACAGCAUCUCAACAUAUCAUUUUGAGAUAAGAAUCAUUUCUGUUUGAUUUCAUGACCCUAAUUUAUUUUGGACUGUCUUUUUUUCACACAAAGAAUUAAAGUGUCUGUAACUUCAUAAAGACUGGCGUGUUUAUGACAAAAAGCAAAGAAUAAAGGUGUGAACUUUCCAGGUCAUUCAUCACUAGGCAAAGUCUCAAAUAUGAAGCCUGCCACACCAAGUACCCUCUACACUUACAUUCUUUCUGUUCCUUUUGGACGAUGUAUUUGAACAGUAAAAAAAAGGAACAAGAAUGUGGUGAUUUGGAUACUUUUUAGAGGCAUGGCUUUCUGUGUUUAAGCUGUUGUAGCUCUUUGUGGUCACUGUGAUUUCAGAAUACAGGACAGUCAGGCCAGUGAAUCCAACUCUUCUGUGUGGACUUCUGUGCACAGGAUGAAAGGCACCUACCUCUUGCUUCUGAGAGACUUCCCUGCCUACUUUCUGGCCCAACGAGGCAAUCUCUUCAGAGUCAGGAGAAGGAGUGAGGCUGAUCUUGAACUCCUAGUUUUGAGAGAUCUUCCUGCUCUGUCUGGCCUCCCAAUGUUCUAGGAUUACAGGUGUGUGAGCCAUGGUGCACAGCCGCCCAGGUGUUUUUGGUGGAGGUGGCUCAAGUCCCCACCAGAGACACACUGGUUUAGAGCCUGCUCAGGAGGAACAAAGACGUUGAA
rnacentral:lncRNA from 1 species